CUAGUUUCGAUUUUUUUUUUUUUUUUUUUUACACAAACAAAUUUCGCCCGCGUCGCCGAGAUUACUCAAAUAAAUCUAUGGGGGGGGGGGGAAACGAUUAGAUUCGUUACGGCGCAGCACCGAAAGUACAAAUAAUAACUCUGCGUGUCGCCCCCCUCGCCGCCGUUUUAGGGAUCGAACCCGUACGGGACCCCGGGCGUCUGUCGCAGAACACGCACGUCAGUUGGAACUCGCGCGAUCCGUUCGACCGGGGCUCGCGAUCCGCUCCGUGUAGUUUCGUCGCUCGUGCAAUUCCGUCCUCGGAGGCCAAUAGUCAAUAGUGAUACGGAAACGGCGGAUUGAGAGACCGGCCGUUUGAGAAAACCGCGG